UUCCUAGUACGAGAGGACCGGAAUGGACGAACCAAUAGUGUUCCAGUUGUCGCGCCAGCGGCAUCGCUGGGUAGCUAUGUUCGGACUGGAUAACCGCUGAAAGCAUCUAAGCGGGAAACCAACCUCAAGAAUAGAUAUCCCUUCUUCGUGGAAACACGGAGAACUGAAGACCCCUCGGAGACUACGAGGUUGAUAGGCCGGAGGUAUAAGUCCAGUAAUGGAUUAAGCUCACCGGUACUAAUCGGUCGUGCGACUUAGCCAC
rnacentral:ncRNA from 1 species